ACGCUAGCUACAGGCUUAACACAUGCAAGUCGAGGGGAAACGGCAUUUAGUGCUUGCACCGAAUGGACGUCGACCGGCGCACGAGUGAGUAACGCGUAUCCAACCUUCCCAUAACUAAGGAAUAACCUGCCGAAAGGCAGACUAAUACCUUAUGUAAUCCUUUGAUGGCAUCAGAUAAGGAUAAAAGAUUUAUCGGUUAUGGAUGGGGAUGCGUCUGAUUAGCUUGUUGGCGGGGUAACGGCCCACCAAGGCAACGAUCAGUAGGGGUUCUGAGAGGAAGGUCCCCCACAUUGGAACUGAGACACGGUCCAAACUCCUACGGGAGGCAGCAGUGAGGAAUAUUGGUCAAUGGACGUAAGUCUGAACCAGCCAAGUAGCGUGCAGGAUGACGGCCCAAUGGGUUGUAAACUGCUUUUGUAUGGGGAUAAAGUCAAUCACGUGUGAUUGUUUGCAGGUACCAUACGAAUAAGGACCGGCUAAUUCCGUGCCAGCAGCCGCGGUAAUACGGAAGGUUCGGGCGUUAUCCGGAUUUAUUGGGUUUAAAGGGAGCGUAGGCCGGAGAUUAAGUGUGUUGUGAAAUGUAGACGCUCAACGUCUGACUUGCAGCGCAUACUGGUUUCCUUGAGUACGCACAACGUUGGCGGAAUUCGUCGUGUAGCGGUGAAAUGCUUAGAUAUGACGAAGAACUCCGAUUGCGAAGGCAGCUGACGGGAGCGCAACUGACGCUUAAGCUCGAAGGUGCGGGUAUCGAACAGGAUUAGAUACCCUGGUAGUCCGCACAGUAAACGAUGGAUGCCCGCUGUUGGUACCUAGUAUCAGCGGCUAAGCGAAAGCAUUAAGCAUCCCACCUGGGGAGUACGCCGGCAACGGUGAAACUCAAAGGAAUUGACGGGGGCCCGCACAAGCGGAGGAACAUGUGGUUUAA
rnacentral:rRNA from 1 species